CUUCGGAUGUUUGAACACCAGAAUGCUUCCGUGUCAAUAGCACUCACAGGAUGACCCAAUCACCACCAUUCUGAGGAUUCUGACCAACUUACUUCUAAAAUGUUCAGAAUGUAAUAAGGUGCAUACGUAGAAAUCUUGCUUUAGGUGCUAAAAUGAUAUAGUACUGAAGACAAAAAAAGAUAAGCAUGAAGAACGCUCCCCUUCCCACUGAUCAUGUGGUACAGCCCGCCGCGUGCAAUUCACUGACUGUCUUGUUUGUAACCACGCCCCUGUUGUUAGCAUACACCUGCACCUGGUUUGUCAUUAUGUACAUAUUUAAACCCCUGUUGGUGUGGGCUUCUUUGUUGGUCUUUGAUUCUCGUUGUGCUUGUAGUUGAUGUUGCCUCUGUCCACCCUGCUUGGUUUCCGUGAUUUGUGUUUAUCAUUCAUGCUUUAUGUAAUACAUGUCUGUCUCUCUCGAGAAUGGUCUGUGUGUGCUGCUCUUUGCCCUGCAGCACUCAGAAAGAGUGACCGCUGCAGAAUGCCUACUCUCUCCGUGCUAUACGGACUGCUCAUGGGGCUGCGCUCAAGGGUGAGCUAUCUGGAGAGCACAGAGCAGGCAUAUCCCGGGAUGAAUCGCGCUGCUCCAGAGCUAGGGGAUACUCCCUUAGCCACGGCUAUUCCCAAGGGCCCCUAUCACUGAUAUCCGAAGCUGCUGCCUGGAUCCCUGGAUGUUGGGGAGAGGACUGCAACCGGAGCUCGUGGCCACACCGGAGAAGAAGGUGAGAGCCUGCUCCAGCCAAGGAGGGGUGUAGUAUUACCAAGCCAGGACCACAGGGAGCUGAUUGGCUCCAGGAUGGGCUCUCCCUGCAUGGCUGGCAUUACUUGGGCCAUAGUUCGUAGCAGCACGUUGGGACCCAGGGUGGAUGCUUCCCUCUGCUUGUCCUGCAGGAACAGACACGACUCCAGUGCCUGCCUGUCCAGCAGGCGCUGUAUCGGUGCGCUUUGUUUGUCUGCAGGCGCACUGACUCACUCUCACAUUCACCCACGGUGAGUGCGGUAUGUUUGUCGUGGCUGGGUCCCACCAAGGAUGCUGCCGCCAUUGAACUCCAUUACCAGGUCUCCGGACCCACUGCUGAAUGUUGCAGCCGCGCGUUCGGACCCACCAUGGAGCGUCGCCGGACUGCCCUGGGAGAGACACAGACUUCGCCUUUCCACCUCAUGUACUGAGACCUCCCUUUUUGGUGGCUCCUAGCCAGCCUUGUGUUGGGUGGGCACCAAGCUUCGCCAUGCUUUGUAUGUGUUUAUGUAUAAAUGUAUACAUGGCAUCCUAGGGUUCACUGUCCCGGGAAUGGAUGUGUCAGGAGCUGUGCCCCUUGGGGGUGUGGUACUGUCAUGGAACACUCCCCUUCCCACUGAUCACAUGGUAUGGCCCACCGCGUGCAGUCUUGUUUGUAACCACGGCCCUGUUGACACACACCUGCACCUGGUUUGUCAUUACGUAUGUAUUUUAUACCCCUUUUGGUGUGUGCCUCUGUUGGUCUUUGGUUCUCAUUGUGCUUGUCAUGUCGAUUUUAUACAUUACUCAUAUUCACACUGGAUGUUACAUGUGAGUGCCAUGUGUUUAUUGUUUGUGUCCGUCAAUAAAUGUGUCUACGUC